rnacentral:pre_miRNA from 1 species
AAUAAGUUUAUUUUUCAGUUUUUAUAUAAUAUUUUGACUCUUUGUCUUAUUUAAAGUUUUUUAUAAUUAAUAUUUUUAUUGUUAUUAUAUGAUAAAACAUGAAUAUUACUUAUGUGUGACUAAUUUUUUAAGGUUUUUUACAAAAUUUUCAAAUAAGACGAAUGAUCAAACAUUGGACACAGAAAUCGA